rnacentral:lncRNA from 1 species
CGCCCGGGUUAGGGGUGAGGGUUACGAUUAGCGUUAGAUUUAGGGGUAAAGGGAUUAGGGUUAGGGGUUAGGGUUUGGGUUAGGGUUAAGGUGAGAGUGUUGUCAGCCUGGUCAUCCCUUAUCCGAAGCGAAGGGAAGACGUUCAGGUGUUUCCCUCAGAGGGUCUGAGGUGGCAUGGGUGAUGGUGGCCGUUCCUUUCGAGCUUGGAUCUAACUUCCAGGUACAGAGGCAAGUGGACUGCUGUUUUGAAAUGAUAAGUGGCCCCGUAUUUAAUUUUAUGUUGUUGAGGGAUGGGUGCUAAUGCUGUCAGCUGAACGAUUACCUUCUAUGUUUUCAUUUGUUAAAGCUGAAACACAGCGUACAACCUGGGACGUCCCACCCAGAGCUGCCUCUGGCAAGAGGUGUUGUAGCUGGCUUAAGAGGGUAGAUGGAAGCAUCUGCCUUGGGGUGUCUCGCACAGGCUCAAAGGAGCAAACUGCAUUCUGAAGAGCUGCGUGCCAUGGCAGGCUCUACACAGAAGUGGCUGAGGACUUGAGAUGAGGCUGGAGAGUGACAAGGAGCAGCACGUGCAGGGAUGGUUUUCAAGCGCUGCGGUUGCUUUCUCUUCUGUUGAUCAGGUGCCACAGGCAAGGUGGGCUGUGACAUCAGUCUUUAGAAUUGGAGCAAAGCGGGUCACUUGAAUGCCGCAGGGCAUCUGAGAAGGGUGUUUUAACAGGAAAAGUUCGUCUGGCGUGGCGGUGUCUGAUGGCAGUGUGUUUCCACAGGUGAAGAGGUGCCUGGAGCCCCAUCUCAUCUAGCCUGCGUGUGUCUUGAUGAUAAAGCCUGCUUUCCAGCAGUCCCGAAAGCUAAGUUUGACCUGAAAUGCCCUGUCUGUGUCUUGGGUAUGGUUGUACCUUGGCGUGUGUGUGAUACGUGCCUGGGGAGGGCUUUUAAAUCAGUGCAGCAGAGGAACAGGAUCCAGUAACAACUGGAUAAAGAGGCCCUGGGUUCAUCCUUUUCAGCCUAGCGUGUGCCAGGCAGGGCAGUUCCAGCAUGUGUUCUGUGGUGUAUGUUUGUUUCUGUACUAUAGUAUCCAUUUAUCAGGUCUUGUUCCCAUAGUUCUUGGCUUCUGCAGUGCUUGCUGAGCACCAUAUCAUGGGUCUUAAAUGUAUUGUCUUGGUGGCAUGGGACUAGUAAUGAAGUGUUUCUUGUCUUUCAUCGGGACUUCAAAAGGCUGAUCUCUCUGAAGAGCUU